rnacentral:rRNA from 1 species
GCGCACGCUGGCGGCAGGCCUCACACCUGCAAGUCGCACGAACCUUUCGGGGUUAGUGGCGGACGGGUGAGUAACACGUGGGAACGUGCCUUUAGGUUCGGAAUAACUCAGGGAAACUUGUGCUAAUACCGAAUGUGCCCUUCGGGGGAAAGAUUUAUCGCCUUUAGAGCGGCCCGCGUCUGAUUAGCUAGUUGGUUGAGGUAAUGGCUCACCAAGGCGACGAUCAGUAGCUGGUCUGAGAGGAUGAUCAGCCACAUUGGGACUGAGACACGGCCCAAACUCCUACGGGAGGCAGCAGUGGGGAAUCUUGCGCAAUGGGCGAAAGCCUGACGCAGCCAUGCCGCGUGAAUGAUGAAGGUCUUAGGAUUGUAAAAUUCUUUCACCGGGGACGAUAAUGACGGUACCCGGAGAAGAAGCCCCGGCUAACUUCGUG